AAACAGCCUGGAUGCAGCGGGCUGGAUUUGUGUAGCACAUCUGCUGCCAGGCUCAUAAUCAACUGCAAUCUCAUCUUUUUUCCCUCUGCUCUGGCUGCUUAUUUGAUUGUGCUGCUGAAGGACCUCCAGACUAUGAUUUUAAUAGCUGUUGAUGAAGGCCAAUCCAUGUUUUUCACAUCCCCUUAGCACUGCUUUUGCAUCCCAGGCUUGCAUGGAAGGUCUGGAAAGUGGCAGCUCUGUUGGAAUGACCAGAAAAAACUCCACUCAAAGUCAACAGAUAAAAUGGACAGGUGAGCUCAGCAUUGUGAUAUCACUGGUGAAGAUUUCGUGAAAAGAAUAAAAAGCAGGUAAGUUCUUUUUAUGAGUGAGUG
rnacentral:lncRNA from 1 species